UUUCGGAGAAUCCCCCGCUCUCUCCCUCCUUUUCUUCCUACGCUUCUUGCGCCGCUCUCUCCCUCUCUCUCGGUUUGUUUACCGGCAGCUUUUCUUUCUGAGUGGAGGAAUUUCCAGAUCUCUGUCCCCCCCCCUCCCUCGUCCCCACUGGUAGAAGCUGGCCGAAUAAAAGAAAGCUUCACCGUGGCAAUGCUCUCGCAUCGUGUUCGUGCACAAACCCCCCAAAUACACCUGCACACCCGCGGAGACGUACAUGAAAUUCAAAUGUAUUUCAAAUUAUGUUAUAAAAAGGAAGCUGGACCAGCUGACCAGCCCCGUGUGCGAGCACGCGCUGGGCGGACAUUGUGUAACGGCGUUGUGCAAGAGCAAGGUUAUAAGAAAUGGGAAAAGGCCCUGUCUGAUAAGCACGAGGCGAAAUUCACGAGAAUCUCAGAUGACAGUGAUGUUUCUCUUUUAUAUCACACAUAAAUUUAUCUUUUUGUUUUCUUGCAAACCAUUUGAGGCGCUAUUGCAGCUGCAGAGCACGUUUUGUUCUGGAAGCUUCAGCUCAGCACCACUACCUCCAACAGGGAUAAAAAUAAUCCCUAUAUAUAGGAGCAGAGCUGUUUAUCUGCUGAAGCCUGCAACAGCAGCGUGCAGAACAGAAGUAUGUUACAACAACAUUCAAAACUAUUAUUAUAACCUUCAUAUUUCACAUUCAUGAAUGCAGGUUCCCUUUUUCUGUCACAUGCAUUUUUAACAUCACACGCAGAGCUGUCACACGUCUGAUCGGUGGCCCUGUGUGAUCAGGUCCACCUCACCGAGCCUGAUAUGAACUGUCUGCCCAUUAAAACCAGGUCUCAGACUCCCUCCAGCGGCUCCCUAAUGCAUCUGCUGUCAGCGGCGAAAGCCCCAGAGAAGGCUUGUUGGAACAGCACCCUGCAACAACCGUUUGGUCACGUGCAGAGCAAGAGCGAGUCCCGGUCUUUGGAAAAUAUUGGGAAUUCCUAAAGGGGAGGUUUAGUGAAAAACAUUUUUAGGGGGUUUGAUGUUUUGUUUUGUUUUUCGGGGACUUCCUGAUUCUGAAUUUCCACGAAAAUAAAAUUGAAAAUGAAACUAUUUACAGGCUUCACUUUACCAUGUGCAGCAAUUUAUUAGAAAUAUAUCAAAAUCGGCCUGUAAUCUGUGCAAACAUAAAAGACGUUGUGUGCAUAGGUAGAAGGGAAAUUUGGCAGCCACGGCUAAACAGUUUGAAAUCUAUUUAUUAGGAACAUCCACAAAUAUAUAGGGUUAUCUAAUAAACAAUGAAAUAUUGUGUAUUGUCGGUUACAUUGUAAGCACUUAACUGAUUUAGCACUUGUCCACUGAAAUAGCAGAAAAUCUGUUGGAGUUGCUGUAUGAACAGAUUUUUCUGGUGUUACUGCGCCACCUAGUGGUCCGAUCUAAGGAUUCACACUUUACGUGUAUAAAUAAUUAUGUCAUGGUUUUGUUAUAUUUUAUAGUGUUUUCUUACAGUAUUUUUUUUUUACAGAAAUAGAUACAACUUAAAUACAUUAAAGUAUUAUAUUUAUUGCUAUAUUUAGAUAUUCAUGGAAGAAAACAGUAUAAAAUGAAAGAAAGCAAUAAAAUAGAUUUACAAGCAGUAACUAACAAAUUAUAGAAUGUGAGUUUAAUAUAAAAUCUCUUUUUCUGUUUCAUUUUUUCUGAGCUUCAGUUGAGAUCCAGUGACCGUGAAGGCCAUAACAUAUGAUUUGUAUGAGGGCUCACCAAUAACCUUAUAACAGAGUUUCCCUUGCAGCCUCCCAUCCACUGAGACCAUUUCUGAUGAGACUUCUGCAAACAGAUGGAAUAACUAAAGGAUCAGAUGUAUCUCUCAGGUCUUGUGUCAGGUCUUUGCUUGAUGUUUUCUAUUAAGGAUUUUCAGAUACUGUUCAUAUGCUGUAGAUUUUUAAAGACAUUUAUUUUGUCCUCCAAUUGUCCAGUUUCCUCAAAUUAUUCAAGGACAAAAUGAAUAGAAUGUUGAGAUAUUUUCAGUGAAUACCUCUUUAGGAAUCACCUUUUGGUCUAAGAAUACUAUUUUACGUCCCUGGACUUGUGUUAUCUUUGGCAUUUUUCAUAGAUUCAAGUAAAGAAAUGGAAGAAAUUUUGUUUCCACAACAGACUGCUUGUAACAAAGUUCCUGGGCACAGGUUCAUUCCUUGGGUUAGGUUAGUUCUAUUUAUGCUUGAAUGAUUCAGUUUUAAAUAGCUCAACAAAAAAUGGUCAGGUAAGGACUAGAGUUAAAAUGUGUGAAAAGGAAGUCCAAAGAAAAGUCUGUGGAAUUACUACAGCAGCUUUAGAAACUAUACAAAAGUCUAGCUUCUUUUAAACAAAAUAGAAAAAAAAGAAAGAAAUUGGAGUGCCUCAAGACCGCAGUACAGUCCAAAAAAAGGAUUUUUCCCCCCUGAAGUUCCCUGUAUAAUAGAAAUUGUCACACUAACGCUAUGUUUUGGGACAAUAUAAUCGAUCAAGUGGUGCUGAGAGUAGGGUGAUACAUAACAACAAUGCAUGUAUGAGCCUGAUGACAGAGGUACAACUGAAUAUUUGUUGUACCUCCCUGAAGGAGUGACCCAGGCCACUGGACGCCAUGCACUGAUGCUCGCAAAUCAGCUACAAAAGAAAACAUACAUGAUUUUGUCCCAGGAACACAAACAUCUCUUCCAUGUUUUGUUUAUGGAGCAUGAGACAACUUGUAAAAAUGGACCCACUGUCCCAUAUUACUACAUUACAUUACAUUACUACUAUUUCAACACUCAAUUGACAGUCACACCGUCCCCUAGCUGUGGAAACACUCCACAGUCAUCCCCAUCCCCAAAAGAAACAACCCAAAGUGUCUGAGUGAUCUUCGUCCUGUGGCCCUCACCUCCUUGGUGAUGAAGGCCAUGGAGAAGAUCAUAAAACAGCACAUCGUAAGAGCAACUGACCCCCUGAUGGACCCACUCCAGUUUACUUACCGUGCACACAGAGGUGUCGAUGAUGCCAAAAUCUUCAUCUUGGACUCCAUCCACAAACAUCUGGAACUCCCUGACUCCUCCGCCAGACUUCUGUUUGCUGAUUUCUCAUCAGUGUUCAACACUCUGCAGCCUCAUAUCCUGGCCACUAAACUUUCCUCCCGAUUUCA